rnacentral:rRNA from 1 species
GACGAACGCUGGCGGCGUGCCUAAUACAUGCAAGUAGAACGCAGUUGCGAACGGGUGAGUAACGAGUAGGUAACCUGCCUUAUCGCGGGGGAUAACUAUUGGAAACGAUAGCUAAUAACGCCUACUGUGAGAUGGACCUGCGUGGUAUUAGCUAGUUGGUGAGGUAAAGGCUCACCAAGGCGACGAUACAUAGCCGACCUGAGAGGGUGGUCGGCCACGCUAGGACUGAGACGCGGCCCAGACUCCUACGUGAGGCAGCAGUAGGGAGUGUUCCGCAAUGGACGAAAGUCUGACCGAGCAACACCCCGUGAGUGAAGAAGGUGUUCGGAUCGUAAAGCUCUGUUGUUAUAGAUGCGGUAACUAACCAGAAAGGGACGGCUAACUACGUGCCAGCAGCCGCGGUAAUUC